rnacentral:ncRNA from 1 species
CAUUAAGAGAUUACCUCUGUCGUUACUUGCGUAUGCAAAUACGGGAAUGCAAUUGCUGA